AAUGACGAUAUUUGUGAUCUACGAGUGUGUGGUCGAAUUUUUGGGAUGAGUAUGGCUUUGAAGUAAUAUUUUGGGGGCUAUAGCGGCAAUGUAUUGGGACGCAAUGAUGGCCUUUGGAUUAUUACCAGACGAAGUAUUACUGAUGUCGACUGGCGCCUGUUUGUAGGUCAUUAGCGGUGUACAAAUUUGAGUGCUCAAGUCAGGCCGAUGUUGCCUGCAGAGUUUUGCAUGGAAUAAUGGAAGAGGACUUCGGUUCUAUUUCGUUGGUUUUCGGAUCCGAAGUAAUGAUCAAAAGAGACAGGCGGGGGCGUUUGUAUGGCUGCGCUAGAGGUGAAAUUCAUGGACCGUAGCCAGACAAACUAAAGCGAAGGCAUUCGUCAAGCAUGUUUUCAUUGGCCAUGAGCGAAAGUCAGAGGCUCGAAGACGAUCAGAUACCGUCCUAGUUCUGACCAUAAACGAUGCCAACUGACGAUCCGUGGUGGUAGUGAUGUUGCCUUCCCCACGGGCAGUCGCCGGGAAACCGUUAAGUGUUUGGGUUCCGGGGGAAGUAUGGUUGCAAAGCUGAAACUUAAAGGAAUUGACGGAAGGGCACCACCAGGAGUGGAGCCUGCGGCUUAAUUUGACUCAACACGGGAAAACUCACCCGGGCCGGACACUGUGAGGAUUGACAGAUUGAGAGCUCUUUCUUGAUUUGGUGGUUGGUGGUGCAUGGCCGUUCUUAGUUGGUGGAGCGAUUUGUCUGGUUAAUUCCGAUAACGAACGAGACUCCAGCCUGCUAAUUAGUGCGUUCGUCCACUGCGCCCGCGUGGGUGACGUUGGACGAUGCCGUCUGCCGUGGGUGCGCGGUUUGCGCUCUUGCCCUCUCCUCUCCUCCCCUCCUGCACUUCUUCGUGUGAGGGUGGUGGGGUGGGGUGGGUGUGGUGCGCGAGGUUGCAGGUUCACGCCCGUGGUUGGUUAGUUUGGCGUUGGCCCGCGGGUGCGGCGCGAGUGUAUACUUCUUGGAGGCGACAGGGCGGGAGAGCGCGCGAGAUGGCCGCUAUAUGAGGUGCGUCACUUUAGUGUCCGGCGAACCGCACAUGACGGUGUCAACAGGACCUUCUGGCCCGAGAGGGUUGGGCAAACUGGUCAAUCACCGUCGUGACAGGGAUCGGGGCUUGGAAUUGUUCCCCGUGAACGAGGAAUUCCUAGUAAGUGCAAGUCAUAAGCUUGCGCUGAUUACGUCCCUGCCCUUUGUACACACCGCCCGUCGCUACUACCGAUUGAAUGGCUUAGUGAGAUCCUUGGAUCGGCGUCAUUGUGGCAGCUGCCGGAAGGUCGCUGUCCUGCAGUCGCCGAGAAGACGACCGAACUUGGUCAUUUAGAGGAAGUAAAAGUCGUAACAAGGUUUCCGUAGGUGAACCUGCGGAAGGAUCAUUA
rnacentral:ncRNA from 1 species